rnacentral:rRNA from 1 species
UACGGGGGGGGCAAGCGUUGUUCGGAAUUACUGGGCUUAAAGGGCGCGUAGGCGGGCCUCCAAGUCCGGGGUGAAAGCCUCCAGCCUAACUGGAGAAGCGCCUCGGAGACUGGGGCCUCGAGGAGGGUAGGGCAAGCGGAACUAUGGGUGGAGCGGUGAAAUGCAUUGAUAUCCAUAGGAACUCCGGUGGCGAAGGCGGCUUGCUGGACC